rnacentral:precursor_RNA from 8 species
ACUACUUGGUACUGCAUGCUCAUAGCAAGCGUUGGCGUCCUCGUUGACUUUAGUGAUUUCUUGAUUCACCAGUCAAUGUUGACACCACCGCCUGACUUGAGCCAAUUCAUCGCUGGCAUCG